GAGCAGGAAAACACAGUAAAACCCCUCUCCUCAAGCCUCUGGCUUCCAGACCCAAGACCAAGGUACAACACACUGGUCAGAUGGAAGCUUAAGAAAUGUCAGGAUAGUGACUACCCAGUAGCAGCCAAUAGGAAACCAGCGGAGCACCGGGAGCCGGCAGCGAAUAGGCUGAAACAGGCAGAUGCACUGCCUCCAGCCUCUCCAGCAGACAACGUUGAGAACAAGAAUCCUGGACAGAGUGGGCGAAAGGACAGUCUGGAGACACGGCAGAUCUGAAGAAACGAAAGAGUGGAGAAGCGGAGGACAGCGGACACGAGAACGGACCUUGCGAGGCUGAGAACAGUGCCAAAAGAAAAAGCCUCUAGACACCUCAGCCAACCUCUCAGCGUUCGCCUUCAACACAAAUGAAAUAUAAGGCUAUAUCAUGGACCGAUUUAUACAUUUUGCUCCCUAUGUCUGUUUAGUUAGGGUCAUAGGUCACAGCGAAAUAAUUCUCAUUUGUGAGGUGUUUUCACGUUGUCAUUGUGGGGUGCUUUCCGAGUGCAUAGCAUAUAUUCAUGUCUGUCAAGUUAUUGUUUAAUGCCAAAUGUAAUUCAAUUGCAUUGUUAUAUCGUGACAGGAAACAAUAAAAAGCUAUAAUUACUCCCAAAAAUAAAAUUUGUGGACUGGUGCUGAGUAUGAGAACUUUUAAGAUGUAUUUGGUAUAAUAAGUUAUCAUAAUAUACAGUGCCUUGCGAAAGUAUU